GACGAACCGUGCGAACGUUGUUCGGAAUCACUGGGCUUAAAGGGUGCGUAGGCGGGCUCGUCAGUCGGGUGUGAAACCUCCAGGCUCAACCUGGAGACGCCACCCGAUACUGCUGUGGCUUGAGUCCGGUAGGGGAGCGUGGAAUUCCUGGUGUAGCGGUGAAAUGCGCAGAUAUCAGGAGGAACACCAGCGGCGAAGGCGGCGCUCUGGGCCGGUACUGACGCUGAGGAGCGAAAGCGUGGGUAGCAAACAGG
rnacentral:rRNA from 1 species